CAGCAGCCGCGGUAAUACGGAGGGCGCGAGCGUUACCCGGAUUUACUGGGCGUAAAGGGCGUGUAGGCGGCCUGGGACGUCCCAUGUGAAAGGCCACGGCUCAACCGUGGAGGAGCGUGGGAUACGCUCAGGCUAGAGGGUGGGAGAGGGUGGUGGAAUUCCCGGAGUAGCGGUGAAAUGCGCGGAUACCGGGAGGAACGCCGAUGGCGAAGGCAGCCACCUGGUCCACUUCUGACGCUGAGGCGCGAAAGCGUGGGGAGCAAACCGGAUUAGAUACCCCUGUAGUCCCUGUCUCUUAUAC
rnacentral:rRNA from 1 species